AUGAAUGGCAGAAAAACAUUAGAUUCCCCAGAGCGAGGGAGAGAGAGAUAUCGCUCCUGCAACAGACGAGACGGAGGCCAACAGCUCGCUGUUUCGAUGUUACAAUCUGUCACGUCGCUAAUUUGAGUUCCCUGACUUGAGGUCCUUCUUCCAAAGCACCGUACGUGGCCUGUAGUCUCGAUGUUACAAUCUCCCACGAUGCUCCAGUCAGUGACUUUGGCAAAAAAUCGGGUCAUCCACUGGACCGCGUCCCAAGGGUACAUGUCUUUCCAGGCUGCAGCUGCAGGUACUGAAACACCAGGCUGCUUGGCGAGUUCCAAGAGCAAGAACCUUCCGCCAUGAAGAACUGCAGUUUGAGAACUGCAGCUGUAGAUCAUGGACUCUGGCAGGACCCCAGCCACCUUAAAAAGAAAAAAAAGACAUACAAAGAGAAGAAAUUAAACUGUUUCACGGAUGAACUGGAAGAAGUCACCUGGGUCCGCAAAAACUUCUGGUUCCACUUAAUCAUGCACUACCCUGACAAACAACCAAUACGCAAAAACAGGCCAACUGCACAAAUCUUCUUGCUAUUAAUAGUAAUAAGAUGCAAGUAAAUAAAUAAUACUGAGAAUGUGAGUUGUAGCGUCCUUGAAAGUGGGUCCAUAGGUUGUGGAAUUAAUUUAGUGUUGAAGGAAGUGAUGUUAUCCAAGUCAAUUCAGGAACCUGAUGGUUGAAGGGUAAUAACUAUUCCUGAACCAUGAAGGGCGAUUAAUUUUCUUCUAGCUCCAGACUUUUGAUCAACCUCCUCUCACUACCAGAUCUGUCUCCUAAUUUCCAAGUCUUCCAAGUGAAUCCUGUUCUGUUGACUUAGUCACUGCAAGGAGAACGAAAGCAGCAUCCUUCAUUGGAACCACCACCACCCAGAUCAUGCUCUCUUCAUGCUGCUGUCAUCAGGAAGAAGAUACAGGAGUCUUAGGAUCCACACCAUCAGGUUCAGGAACAGAUAUUCCCCCCAACUACCAGGCUCCUGAACUAGAAGAGAUAACUUCACUCAACAUCACUUGCCCCAUUACUGAACUGUUCACACAACCUAUGAACUCACUUUCAAGGACUCUUCAUCUCAGACCCUGACUUACACAAUGUGCACACAAAAUCCUGGAGGAACUCAGCAGGCUGGGCAGCAUCUAUGGAAAAGAGUAACAGUCACCUGACUGACAAAGGAAAGCACCUCCAAGAGGACCACAACCAUGUUGUUGGGUUUGGAGACCUGCAUGCCUCAAUGACUUGGAGAACGAUUUUAGCUGAAGUCAGGGUGUUAUGAUUUGGCUCUUGAUAGGGUCACCCAUGCCAAACAGGUCAAAGUGUAGAGGCCAGACUAAGAGUGGUCCAGGUUUGGGGAUUCAGCUCAGGGCUAACAACCUGACUGGUAAAACAAAAUUAUGAUGGAAGCAGCAAUGGACAAUCCUUCCACAUCUGAGUGCGAUGGUAUUCCUGAGUCUCCAUCAGGGAUUUGCACGACUAACAGUAGUGAAAACCAAGAGGAAGCUACUGUCACGAUGAAGGAAGCCCUGAACACCGCCAGAGAUGGAGGACCUUCAUUGCUGCCCUAGAUGCCAACAGUGUAAUGGGCAUUAGGUACAAAGCAAAGCAAGGCAGAUUUGUUGAUACUAUUACCCUUCAGUAACUGGUGAUGUACUGUCUUCUGAGCUCUGCUGUCCCUGUGAUACACAUUUAAAUAAUGUGUCU